rnacentral:lncRNA from 1 species
UAGUAGACCUAGAUGAAAGGGUUGGGAGGAGCUAAGGUGUUCACCUCAAGAAGAUCAAUGAGACACCAGGAUAGCCAUUAUCCAGUUAACUAUUUUCUCUAAGCCCUCUCUUGGACUCUGCCAUCUGGCUGCUGUCUCCGUUUCCUUAAUGAGGAGAAGGCGAGGUCUCAUACUCACCAACUGCUGCAAAAUCUGUAGGUGUCCAUUCCCAAUCAUGUGGCUACAGUGCUCCGACACCUCGGCAACACUCCUGCUCACGAGGAGACAGACCAGCAGCAGCCGGGAGCCCAUCCAUGUCUGUAACAGGAGAAAGGCAUGGCUUUCCAGCACUUCCUCUCCCUUCCCAGAAUGCAGCACUCCCCAGUUAGAUUCUUAUCAGCCAGUGCACCAGCUCACUCUCCCCUUGAUAAUAACCCAAAUGCCAUCUUCUCCAAGAUUAACUCUUCUUAGGUUAACCCAGGUUAGCCCAACAAUACAGAGAACUUAAAAA